UGGGCGUAAGCGCACGCAGGCGGUUUGUUAAGUCAAUUAAAUCCCGGGCUCACCUGGGAACUAUUGAUCGGCAAGCUUGAGUCUCGUAGAGGGGUAGAAUUCCAGGUGUAGCGGUGAAAUGCGUAGAGAUCUGAGAACCGGUGGCGAAGCGGCCCCCUGACGAAGACUGACGCUCAGGUGGAAAGCGUGGGGAGCAAACAGGAUUAGAUACCCUGGUAGUCCACGCCGUAAACGAUGUCGACUUGGAGGUUGUGCCCUUGAGGCGUGGCUUCCGGAGCUAACGCGUUAAGUCGACCGCCUGGGGAGUACGGCCGCAAGGUUAAAACUCAAAUGAAUUGACGGGGGCCCGCACAAGCGGUGGAGCAUGUGGUUUAAUUCGAUGCAACGCGAAGAACCUUACCUGGUCUUGACAUCCACGGAAGUUUUCAGAGAUGAGAAUGUGCCUUCGGGAACCGUGAGACAGGUGCUGCA
rnacentral:rRNA from 1 species